rnacentral:lncRNA from 1 species
GUUAAUUGUUGGUUAUUUUAUUGGUAAUUUUCCCCUUUAUCCUUGCCAAAUAUCGUUUUAAUUAUUAAUAUUUACUUAUAUUUGGUAUUGGACUCAAUUUCAGGAAGUGGAACAGAAAACUACAACAAAUGAGGGACUUUUCACUAUGCAAUUGAGACUUCAAACAGUUGGGCCCCAUAUGGUGCUACAAGGAAGCCUUUUUCGGUUGAUGGCCCACAAGGAGAAGAAGAAAACGAAUUCCUUUUCUUUGUGCUGAUGGGAGUCUUUGACUAGCAAUAGGAAACUAAACAAGGAGGAAUUUCGGCAGAGCCUCAAUUCUUUGGCUUUUGGACUCCUUAGUCGGCGGGGACCACUGGAUAGCAGGAAGUCAUUUCCCUUUGGCUUUAAAAGGACGAACGUGCAGAAGUUUUCGGGACGAUAGUUAGAGCUUAGUUUUUUUAGUUUCUUUUUCCCAUCGAAGAACAUUAGAAAGCUCCGAUUGUUUUAUUUUCUUGCAACUGGUUCUCCAUUAAUGGAGAACUAGCUUCUCAAUUCUAGUGAAGGGAACAACUGAAGACUUGGUUCAACAAUUACUGUGAGAUCGAAAUUAUUUUAAUCGC